rnacentral:tRNA from 1 species
AGUCUUAUAUUCAAUAAUGAUUUUGAAUUGCAAAUUUAAAGGUGUAGAUAUUAUUCUAUUAAGGCUU